AGUGAACGCUGGCGGUAGGCCUAACACAUGCAAGUCGAACGGCAGCACAGUAAGAGCUUGCUCUUACGGGUAGCGAGUGGCGGACGGGUGAGGAAUACAUCGGAAUCUACUUUUUCGUGGGGGAUAACGUAGGGAAACUUACGCUAAUACCGCAUACGACCUACGGGUGAAAGCAGGGGAUCCUCGGACCUUGCGCGAUUGAAUGAGCCGAUGUCGGAUUAGCUAGUUGGCGGGGUAAAGGCCCACCAAGGCGACGAUCCGUAGCUGGUCUGAGAGGAUGAUCAGCCACACUGGAACUGAGACACGGUCCAGACUCCUACGGGAGGCAGCAGUGGGGAAUAUUGGACAAUGGGCGCAAGCCUGAUCCAGCCAUACCGCGUGGGUGAAGAAGGCCUUCGGGUUGUAAAGCCCUUUUGUUGGGAAAGAAAAGCAGCAGGUUAAUACCCCGCUGUUCUGACGGUACCCAAAGAAUAAGCACCGGCUAACUUCGUG
rnacentral:rRNA from 1 species